UAAAAUGGUUCUCAAGCUUCCUUCUGACUUG
rnacentral:piRNA from 1 species